CGUGAGCUGGGCCAAUUGCCGGUCCAGGUCGCGCCGGUCGGCCAGCACUUGAAGGCGUGCCACGCGCCGGCGCGCGGCC
rnacentral:tRNA from 1 species